rnacentral:SRP_RNA from 1 species
GCCAGGUGUGGUGACGCACGCCUGUAAUCCCAGCUACUCAGGAGGCUGAGGCAGGAGAAUUGCUUGAACCCAGGAGGCGAAGGUUGCAGUGAGCUGAUAUCACACUGUUGUACUCUAGCCUGGGUGACACAGCAAUACUCUGUCUCAG